AGUGCCAAGUAACAUAUAGUGGUGGUAAAGUAAUCAUACAGACACAGGUAGUAGUGCCAAGUAACAUAUAGUGGUGGUAAAGUAAUCAUACAGACACAGGUAGUAGUGCCAAGUAACAUAUAGUGGUGGUAAAGUAAUCAUACAGACACAGGUAGUAGUGCCAAGUAACAUAUAGUGGUGGUAAAGUAAUCAUACAGACACAGGUAGUAGUGCCAAGUAACAUAUAGUGGUGGUAAAGUAAUCAUACAGACACAGGUAGUAGUGCCAAGUAACAUAUAGUGGUGGUAAAGUAAUCAUACAGACAUGG